rnacentral:rRNA from 1 species
GGUGGUCCCACCUGACCCCAUGCCGAACUCAGAAGUGAAACGCCGUAGCGCCGAUGGUAGUGUGGGGUUUCCCCAUGCGAGAGUAGGGAACUGCCAGGCA